ACCGUGGUAAUUCUAGAGCUAAUACAUGCUAAAACUCCUGACUUCUGGAAGGGAGUGUAUUUAUUAGAUAAAAAGCCAAUAUCGGGCAACCGAUUCCUAUGGUGAUUCAUAAUAACUUUUCGAAUCGCAGUGACUUUACGUCGGCGAUGAAUCAUUCAAAUUUCUGCCCUAUCAACUUUCAAUGGUAGGAUAGAGGCCUACCAUGGUAGUAACGGGUAACGGGGUGUUAGGGCACGACACCGGAGAGGGAGCCUGAGAAACGGCUACCACAUCCAAGGAUGGCAGCAGGCGCGCAAAUUACCCAAUCCCGAUACGGGGAGGUAGUGACAAUAAAUAACAAUACGGGGUUCUUAUGGAUCUCGUAAUUGGAAUGAGUACAAUUUAAAUCUCUUAACGAGGAACGAUUGGAGGGCAAGUCUGGUGCCAGCAGCCGCGGUAAUUCCAGCUCCAAUAGCGUAUAUUAAAGUUGUUGCAGUUAAAAAGCUCGUAGUUGAAUUUCGGGAUCAAUUUAUCGGUCGUGCCAAUGGUAUGAACUGGUACAAUUGGUUUCUCCCUUCUGACGAAGCAUGAUGUCAUUAAUUUGGUGUCGUGGGGAAUCAGGACUGUUACUUUGAAAAAAUUAGAGUGUUUAAAGCAAGCAUUAGCUUGAAUACAUUAGCAUGGAAUAAUGAAAUAGGACGUUUGAUCCUAUUUCGUUGGUUUCUAGGAUCGACGUAAUGAUUAAUAGGGAUAGUUGGGGGCAUUAGUAUUCAAUUGUCAGAGGUGAAAUUCUUGGAUUUAUUGAAGACUAACUACUGCGAAAGCAUUUGCCAAGGAUGUUUUCAUUAAUCAAGAACGAAAGUUAGGGGAUCGAAGACGAUCAGAUACCGUCGUAGUCUUAACCAUAAACUAUGCCGACUAGGGAUCGGAUGAUGUUAAUUUUUUAAUGACUCAUUCGGCGCCUUACGGGAAACCAAAGUGUUUGGGUUCCGGGGGGAGUAUGGUCGCAAGGCUGAAACUUAAAGGAAUUGACGGAAGGGCACCACCAGGGGUGGAGCCUGCGGCUUAAUUUGACUCAACACGGGGAAACUCACCAGGUCCAGACAUAGUAAGGAUUGACAGAUUGGGAGCUCUUUCUUGAUUCUAUGGGUGGUGGUGCAUGGCCGUUCUUAGUUGGUGGAGUGAUUUGUCUGGUUAAUUCCGAUAGCGUACGGGACCUUAACCUGCUAAAUAGCUAGGCUUAGCA
rnacentral:rRNA from 1 species